rnacentral:rRNA from 1 species
AUUGAACGCUGGCGGCAUGCUUUACACAUGCAAGUCGAACGGUAACAGGUUAAGCUGACGAGUGGCGAACGGGUGAGUAGUGCAUCGGAACGUGCCCGAUCGUGGGGGAUAACACUUCGAAAGAAGUGCUAAUACCGCAUACGAUCUGAGGAUGAAAGCGGGGGACCGUAAGGCCUCGCGCGAUCGGAGCGGCCGAUGUCAGAUUAGGUAGUUGGUGGGGUAAAGGCUCACCAAGCCGACGAUCUGUAGCUGGUCUGAGAGGACGACCAGCCACACUGGGACUGAGACACGGCCCAGACUCCUACGGGAGGCAGCAGUGGGGAAUUUUGGACAAUGGGCGCAAGCCUGAUCCAGCAAUGCCGCGUGCAGGAAGAAGGCCUUCGGGUUGUAAACUGCUUUUGUACGGAGCGAAAAGCCUCCCUCUAAUACAGGGGGCUCAUGACGGUACCGUAAGAAUAAGCACCGGCUAACUACGUGCCAGCCGCCGCAGUAA